CGGAAAAAUUUUUUUGGAAAGGGGCCCCCCCAAAAAAAUUUGCCCCGGGCCCCCGCCAACCUCUCUGCGGCCCUGUUUGCGUAGCAGGACUAAAUCGUUGGGCUGGUUACGUCACUGAACUUAGACGUUUCGAACGAAUGCCUUUUGUCGGGAAGGGUCUAAUUCGUUCGAAUCGCCGAACUUUUGGUCAUAUUUUUCAGAUAGUCGCAUAUCGUUCACACCUCAGUUGUUUGUUAUGGACUCUGCCUUCAGUGGCACCCAGGGAUUAGGAAGUGGUCAAUCAGUUUCACUAUUUCUCAGGUUGUAUGUUUAACCUGUUUCAUUAUUGGGUCGAAAAGAUUCUUUUAAGGCCGUUUUCUACUAGGCGGAAUUUUGCGCGCGGAGCGGAAUUUUUCUUUGUCUUUUCUAAUUAGUUCCACCCGAGAAAUCACAAGACAAAGAAAAAUUCCACUCCGCGCGCAAAAUUCCGCCUAGUGGAAAACCGGCUUUAUGAUUUCUCGGGUGGAACUAAAGCCUGAUUUCCACUAGGCGGAAUUUUGCGCGCGGAGCGGAAUCUUUCUUUGUCUUGCGAUUUCUCAGGUGGAACUAAUUAGAAAAGACAAAGAAAAUUUCCGCUGCGCGCGCAAAAUUCCGCCUAGUGGAAAUCAGGCUUAAUUAGAAAAGAUAACGAAAAAUUCCACUCCGCGCGUAAAAUUCCGCCUAGUGGAAAACCGGCUUUAGAAAAGACAAAGAGAAAUUCCGCUCCGUGCGCAAAAUUCCGCCUAGUGGAAAACCAGCUUUAGAAAAAAACAAAGAGAAAUUCCGCUCCGCGCGGAAAAUUUCACCUAGUGAAAAACGGCCUUUAGGUUUGGUGCGAUG